rnacentral:rRNA from 1 species
GACGAACGCUGGCGGCGUGCUUAACACAUGCAAGUCGAGCGGUAAGGCCCUUUCGGGGGUACACGAGCGGCGAACGGGUGAGUAACACGUGGGUGACCUGCCUUUAGCUCUGGGAUAAGCCUGGGAAACCGGGUCUAAUACCGGAUAUGACUCCGCGGCGCAUGUUGUGGGGUGGAAAGCCUUGUGCGGCUAGGGAUGGGCCCGCGGCCUAUCAGCUUGUUGGUGGGGUGAUGGCCUACCAAGGCGACGACGGGUAGCCGGCCUGAGAGGGCGACCGGCCACACUGGGACUGAGACACGGCCCAGACUCCUACGGGAGGCAGCAGUGGGGAAUCUUGCGCAAUGGGCGAAAGCCUGACGCAGCGACGCCGCGUGAGGGAUGACGGCC